rnacentral:lncRNA from 1 species
UGAAAAUUUUACAAAUGUGGCCUUUGCCUGCAAAGACCUAAAUCCACUGAGGUGGUUGGUGGGGGAUGAGAAGAAAAGAAAUAAAAGGAGUAAUCUGAAGAAGCAGGGAACCUCACCUUCCAGAUGAAGUAAAUGAAAUAUACUCGCUAAGCUUUGGGGAGGGAGAGAGAAAGGUGUGAGUACAGGAGCACCCAAGAGCUGGAAUCUUCCUAGAUUAGGAGAUAAGGUACUACUAAAAGGUUAACAGGGUGAAUAAAGAGUACUCUAGUCAUGUUUCUGCAGGUUGUGGUUUGGAAGAUAAUGGAAGAAACCCAGACUAGCACAAGAACAGAGAAAUAGAGAUGCACAAUCAUAGUGAGGUCUGCCCUCAUUAAUGAAGAUGCCUCACUAAUUUAAGAUGAAAAUUGAAGCCUGGUAAUAUCCAUCUUGCAGUUACCCAGCCAACAUACGGGAUCUGCCAUCUCUGUUCUAUGUGUACGUUAUCUGGACAGAACAUAAUUGGACACAUUACCCUGCAACUUCGAGUUCCAUCCCCAUCUCCAAUAUUUUCAACAGCUACCGUUGUAUGAUUCCCUUGGACACCAGGGUGUAUGUAGCUUCUGAAGGACAGAUCUGGGAAGGGAGGCACACCUGGGUCCAGGAAGGAAAUGAAGAUCCUUUGGAAAAAUCUUCAGAGUCAAGGGUAACUGAAGAUUAGUCUAGGCAAAAAAAAAUCUUGGAGUUGUGGAAAACAGCAG